UACGGGGGGGGCAAGCGUUGUUCGGAAUUACUGGGCGUAAAGGGCGUGUAGGUGGCCAACUAAGUCCGACGUGAAAUCCCCAGGCUUAACCUGGGAACUGCGUCGGAUACUGGAUGGCUUGAAUUCGGGAGAGGAAUGCAGAAUUCCAGGUGUAGCGGUGAAAUGCGUAGAUAUCUGGAGGAACACCGGUGGCGAAGGCGGCAUCCUGGACCGGCAUUGACGCUGAGGCGCGAAAGCUAGGGGAGCAAACGGG
rnacentral:rRNA from 1 species